rnacentral:rRNA from 1 species
CCUACGGGUGGCAGCAGUCGAGAAUCAUUCACAAUGGGGGAAACCCUGAUGGUGCGACGCCGCGUGGGGGAAUGAAGGUCUUCGGAUUGUAAACCCCUGUCAUGUGGGAGCAAAUUAAAAAGAUAGUACCACAAGAGGAAGAGACGGCUAACUCUGUGCCAGCAGCCGCGGUAAUACAGAGGUCUCAAGCGUUGUUCGGAAUCACCGGGCGUAAAGCGUGCGUAGGCUGUUUCGUAAGUCGUGUGUGAAAGGCGCGGGCUCAACCCGCGGACGGCACAUGAUACUGCGAGACUAGAGUAAGGGAGGGGGAACCGGAAUUCUCGGUGUAGCAGUGAAAUGCGUAGAUAUCGAGAGGAACACUCGUGGCGAAGGCGGGUUCCUGGACAUUAACUGACGCUGAGGCACGAAGGCCAGGGGAGCGAAAGGGAUUAGAUACCCCUGUAGUC